UGCCAGCUCCACCCCACCUCUGGGGACAGCACCCCAGCCCCCAAAAUCCACCGGGGUGGCAGGUGGCCCAGAUGUGCACAAGCACCAUCUUUGGGCACUGCGGCCUCAGGAGCCAGCGUGAUGGGCAUGUGACCCGCACUGGGUCCGGGCUCUCCUCUAGGUCACGAGGACACAAGAGGCCCCCUCCCCCUGCUGAGGGACUCCCAGAGAGGUCACGGGCCCUGCGUCGUCCUCUGUCCUACGGGAGACGCCCACCUGCAGGGGACAAGCCGACCAACCCACGCAGAGCCGGAGAAGCUGCGGUCCGAGCCCUGGAACCCGACCGCCACCAUCGUCGGCCACGGAAGCCCGCACAUUCCCUCCUCUGCUGAGUUUCUUCGUGCUGGACUCAUCCGUCGUGUGCAUCCGGCAGAGCCCUCCCUGAGGCCCCGGUGACGGUGAGGCCGGCGCGCACUCUGGGGGAGGGGCUCCCAGGGGAAGCACGGCGGCAUGGCCCUCGGAGGCCCCUUCUGUUCCAUCUGCAAACAAGGCUGGCUGCAGCGUUCCUGGGGCCAGACCAGCACAAUGACCUAUCACGAAAGUACUCGGGGGCUCCAGGGGGGCGUGCCCCAAGAACCUGGACACGAAGUGAGCUUCGGGGCACCCCGAAGGUACUGAGUGAUGCAGACGGAUGACCUCAAAGCUCUGCGGUUGGCUGAACAGUGGCCCCCAAAUGCUCAGGUCCUGAUCCCCAGACCCUGGGAGUUCGUCACCUUCUGCGGCAAGAGGGAACCUGCAGAGGGGAUUCGGUUAAGGGUCUGGAGUUGGGGAGAAGCCUGGAUUACCCGGGUGGGCCCCGAAUGGAAUCCCGUGCCCUCAUAAGGGAGACCGAGGCAGACUUCAGACACAAGGCAGAGGAGGAGGCCCCGUGCCCCGGCGGCCACACCUGAACUCGGAAGAGGCAAGGAACGGGUCCUCCCCCACGGCCUCUGCAGGAAGCGCAGUGCGGCCUGCGGACACCUUGACUUUGGCCCGGAGAAACGGAUUUCAGACUUCUGGUCUUCAGAACCGCGACAGAAUACAUUUCUGUUUGUGUUAAGCCGCCGAGUCGGCAGUGAUUUGCGACAGCGGGAGCCCCACGAAACUCAUACACGUAUCCGGCCCAGGACGGCAGCCUGACCUUGAGUCGGCGAGGGGUGGAAAACCGAGCUGGGGGCCGUGGCACCACGGGGAAGGGAGAAGCAGCGGCCGCCACAGUCCACGUGUCCCGGCCACCUCUGCCCCCGAGAGCCACGCCCCCUGAAUGACCGUCGCCCGAAGCACGCCCAAUCCUCGUCUCUCCCAGGCCCGAGCUGGCAUCCCUUGUCUGUAAAGGGCCACGCGGUACAGAUUUUCAGCGGCGGCGGGGGGCACACGGCUUCUGCUGCAACUACGCUCGGGAGCGGCCGCGGAGGGGACAGGGACGAACCGGGGCGGCCGAGGCCCAGCAGAACCAGAUCUCCAAAACGGACGGCGGGCGCUUGCUGACCUCUGUUCCCGAUCCCUCCUCUUCCAACCCCGCGCUCACCAAACCACCAACGUGCUUUCCACACACGUCUGUCUCUACGAAGGGGUGCCGCACCGAGUCUGCGGAGGGCAGAGCCACCCGGCGUCCAGUUGCUGCCGUGGCCCUCGGCGGGGGUCAGCCGCAGGCAGAGGACGCCCCUCGCCGACCGGUGCGUGCCACCCCUCACGCCAACGCUGACCGAGGGCCCGGCCGGGGCCGGCAUCGUCCCGGAGGGGCCGUGGGUCCUUAGAGGACGGUCAGGCCCUGAGUGUCGAGUCGAGGGCCGAGGCUGAACACCCGACCCGGGUCACCAAUCGUGGGCCGUUGCUGCUUCCACAGGGACACGCCCGGCCCUGUUGCCGCAGGGGCCCCGCGAGACCUUCGGGCAAAGCAAGGCAACGUCCGCUUGCUCAGUAGAAACUCGCUGCCCACCUGCCAGGAGCCAGGCCUGCGUGAGGCCCCACCGGUUCCCCCACAGGCCCUCCCGGGGCCGGCAGGGAACACAAACCCACGAGCGGCCGCCGCCGGGGAUGCAGACAGCGCUGCCCCCGAGGCACGUGGCGCAGAAGGAAGCGACGAGCAGGUAACGUGCUUAUCCAGGCGUCUGGGGCGAGGACCGCGAUCGUGUGACAAGCCGCUUGUGUCGUUUAUCCCCGGGCGCACUCAAAGAGCCUUCCCACGCGUGGGCCCACGGCGCGCACCCACGGGAGUUACUUGUGACUCCGACGGCCAGGAGCCGCUCACUGGCCCGGCCCGGCCCGGCCCGGGGGGCUGGGAAACGACUCAGGGGCAGGCCCAGCUGCCCUGGUUCUGGAGACGAUCGCGGCGGCUCAGAGCCACGUCCAAGGCCCAGCCACGGCACGGCUGCAACCCAACGGGGCAGGGCCGCCCUCUGCUCCACUCACCUGCACACCUGCCGCCCCCCCACCUCCCCCCGCAGCACCCUUGAGCCAGACCGCUGCUGCAAACGGAAGUCACCGUGGGGGGCACGGCCUCAUGGGACAUCUGCCCAGGGCCAGGCCCUUCUUUUUGGACCUCCUAACCGAUAGGACCGGCUGGGCCUCAGGGCGCCUGGAGGGCUCACCCAGGUAGUAGAGGCGGUGGGAGUGGGGGCCCGACUCGUCUGUCUUCUGCACGAACUGGAAGUCGUGUGGAGCCUUGUUGACGAUGAGGCCCGAGUUCUUGCGGCUGCCGUGGAUGAUGUUCCGGAGCCCGUCCCACGAGUGUUUCUGCACCUGGAAGCGGGAGGCCGGGUCCUCCGUCCCGACCGCGUCACCCCGCUCAGACGCUGGCGCCCCAGUGGCCAUCCUCUCUGUCCCCUCAGAAUUCAGCGACAAGCUGUAAGGGGGAGGGGACAGUGGGGAGACGAUGAGAAGGGAGGAUGACGCCCAUGUGUCACUGACAAGCUGCCCCCUCGUCAGACGCUCCUGAACCCCCCCGACGAGCCCCCCUGCAACUGUCCCAGCCCCCCUAAAUACGUCCCAAAUGUGUCGUUCUAUUUCUUUCAAACACCACAAAUGCUUCCGAGAUCCAAGCCGCUGCCACCUGUGUGCCGAAUGACCCCAACAUCUCGCUAACGGACCCAACACAUCCACCGCAGAUCUGACCCCAUCGCUUAAACGUCUUCCUUGCUUUUCCAGAGUCCUGGGGGUAAAAACCAGUCCUUGUCACGGCCUUCAAGGCUCUCUGUCCUCUGACCCCCGCCAGCCCCUCGAACCUCAUCCCCCUUUUAUCAGUUGCCCAGCCAAACUGGCCUUCCGUUGGCCCUUCAAACAGGCCAGACUCCUUCCCACCUUGGCACGUGCUUCCCUCUGCCUGAAACACUUUUCCCCUCUCUCCGCUUGACUAACGUCCAAUCAGAUCUCAGUGUAAGUAUCUGUCGGGUCCUCAGAAACCUUCCGUGACCAUCUGUACCGAAGCUGGUCUCUCCAUUAGGCGCGUCAGCGACUAACGUCCCCUGCCCUCAGAGCACUGGCACAAGGGUUGUCUGUUGAUCACCUGUCCCGUUCAUGGCAGUGGCCCCAGAACCUCAGGAGGCCCCUGGCUCCCAGGACGCAUUCCACAGAGGGCCGUGUGGAAUGAUUAUCUUGCAUUAAGCCCUCGGGGAGACAGGCUCGCUCACACGCAAAGAACGGAGCGUAAAGAAUUAAUCGGCACAGCUCGUCCCCCGUGCCAUCCAGCCUGGGGUCCAGCAGGGGAAACUCGUGCCUCACGGGACAGGCUCAGAGAGACAAGCAGUUGUGCACAGACGGUGUGAGAACCCCAGCAGAGAGAACGGACGCCCCUCGGGACAGCCCGCCCCACCCCUCCCCCGCUCCCUGAGCAGCUGUGGCCGAGGCCCCGUCCCUCCCUUCUCUCCCCCUGGCUGUUGGGCACAUUUCUUGAGCGGACUGGACUAGCCAGGCAAAUAUUUGCUUUAGGGAAAUCUAAACAUAGCCACAGUGACCCGGUUCCGGAAGAGCCGGGCUCUCUAGCGAGGCCGCCAAGGUGAGCGGGGCGGCCUCCCUCUCCUCCGUGGGCAUCGGACGGCCUAAGGUCUCGCUGAAUGCCGGGCCUCCUUGUGCUCUGGGAUUAGCGGCUUUGCUCCGGGAUUAGUGGCUUUGCUUUACAGGCGGAGCCCGGGCUUCACUGG